rnacentral:snRNA from 1 species
GGGUGUGAGGCCGAUCUGUCUGUGACAUCUUUCACCCCCAUUAUUGGCCAGGGUUGAUUUGGUUCAUCUGGCUGGUAGACAGAGUGUCACCUUCCUCCCUCACUGCUACAGGCGCAUCCAUCACAUAGCUACACAGUUAGUCAAAUAGGGCGACCUUCCCGGAAUAGAGACGUGUGGGUCUUCAGUCAAGGCCAUAGAGAUUUGGGUGGAGGAUAUACAAGGUGCAGCACAUCCCCUGCUAGAACCUCCAAACAACCUCUCACAUGAAAGAUGAGGGCCUCUGGCCUCACCGUUACACACACACACACUCUCAUGCACGCGUGCCUGGCACU